rnacentral:rRNA from 1 species
CUCAGCAAUGAGCACCGGCGGAAGGGUGAGGAAUCCAUUCGAACGUACCCCGAGGUGGGGGAUAAGCAUGGGAAACUGUGCGUAAUACCCCAUAAGCUCUACGGAGGAAAGCCUCGGCGCCUUGGGAGCGGCGAAUGUCCUAUCAGGUAGUUGGCGGGGUAAUGGCCCACCAAGCCUUCGACGGGUAGCAGGUGUGAGAGCACGGCCUGCCACAUCGGGACUGAGACACUGCCCGGACUCCUACGGGAGGCUGCAGUAACGAAUAUUCCGCAAUGCGCGAAAGCGUGACGGAGCGACGCCGCGUGCAGGAUGAAGCGGCUUUGCCGUGUAAACUGCUGUCAGGGGCUACUAAUACUGAAGAGCCCCAGAGGAAGGGCCGGCUAAUCCUGUGCCAGCAGCCGCGGUAAUACAGGAGGCCCGAGCGUUAAUCGGAAUCACUGGGCUUAAAGGGUGCGUAGGCGGGUCAGUAAGAGUGUCGUGAAAUCCCUCGGCUCAACCGGGGAACUGCGGCGCAGACUGCUGAUCUUGAGGAAGCUAGGGGUCGCUGGAACGCUCGGUGGAGCGGUGAAAUGCGUUGAUAUCGAGCGGAACGCCGAUGGUGAAGACAGGCGACUGGGGCUUUCCUGACGCUGAGGCACGAAAGCGUGGGGAUCAAACAGGAUUAGAUACCCUGGUAGUCCACGCUGUAAACGAUGCACACUAGAUCGGUGCAGGUUUGACCCUGUGCUGGUCGGAGAGAAAUUGUUAAGUGUGCCGCCUGGGAAGUACGGUCGCAAGGCUAAAACUCAAAGGAAUUGACGGGGGCUCACACAAGCGGUGGAGCAUGUUGCUUAAUUCGAAGCAACGCGAAGAACCUUACC